CAUUUUCAGUUUCCCUUGAAAAUUUAUUUGACCAUUUUUUCUUGCUUAUGUUGCAGGUGCUAACGCAGUUGAGUUCAUCAUCAACCACGCUGAAGUUUCAAUAGCUUUUGUUCAAGAGAACAAAAUCCCUGCUGACUACUGGAAAGUUAUUGCCCCAAACAGUGAUCGACCGCAUAAGUAAUAUAUACUGAUGCACAUCUGGAGAUUGGAAAGCUGUAAUUAGUACUAAUGCGGCAAUGUUGGUAAAGCAUUGUCUAUGGACCAAAUGUGACGAAUACAGUCCGAACCGACUAAUGUUGAAGAAUCAGCGGAUGAGUUGUGGUCAGGGGUGAAUUCUCCAUUUGUGUGGAUAUAGUAGUUGAACUAGUUUACCAAGCCUGGUUCCAUGUAACUAAUACAUGAAAAAUUGCAUUAUGGAAAGCGAUAUUAAAUUUGUUUUCGAAGUUUGAUCUAUUGCACUAGUCCACCAAAUUCUUUCAAGGUCUUUCUAUUUUCUGAGUUUAUAGCAUGGUUAUCUGAAAUUACUUCCCCCUCAUUCAAAACUGAAAAAUUCAGAUCAUGAUUGUGUUGAUCGAUCUUUCAAGGUCUUUCUAUUUUCUGAGUUUAUAGUAUUGUUAUCUGAAAUUAUUUCCUUAUUCAAAAGUAAAAAGUUUAGAAUUGUGUUGAUCAAUCACCAAACAUAUAUUUUUGGUGUCUGAUUUAGAAUGAUAUAUACUUGAAGGCAUGAUUUAAGAAAAGUGAGAUUAAGUUUUUCAUAUGCAGUGUCCAAUUAUUUUUACGUAAUUGCAAUGAUUUUCUUUUUCAUUUGAUCAGUUUCUUGUUGAGUACCACUACAUUAUAAUUAACUUGAGAAAUAUUUGCCCUUGUUUUUUUGUUAUCGUAAAAUUUAUGCCUAAAUUUGUUCCUGCAGGUAUUGCGAAUAGAGUUUCCUCUGGUGGAACCAUACCCUGUUCCAAUAUGCAUAUAAGUUAGGCAGCUCAUCAGUUGGCAUUUUCAUUGGCAGUCUUAUUCUAAGCUACUGAAAGGUUUAAAUAACAAGAAGUUGGUGUAUCUGAAGAAGUCUCUUCCACAAGACAAAGCACAAGCUUGAGUUUAAAAAGAUCUGUAGCUAUUAUUGACCAAAAAAAGAAGAAGAUCUGUAGCUAUUUAUUGAUGGAAGACUCUAUGAGUCAAUGGGAACCAAAGUAAUAUCAGAGUUUGGGCUUGGACGAACUGAAUUUGUUGAGAGUUGAAGGACAAUAUUUUAGUGUGAAUCCGUUGAGAACCAAAGUAAUAUCAGAGUUUGGGCUAUGACGAACUGAAUUUGUUAAGGAUUGAAGGACAAUAUUUUGGUUUGAUUGAGCUGAUGUAGAGGUAAGUAGUAGAGCUACCACAGCACAUCAGAAGCAGAUAUAUAUGAAAAGAAGAGAUCUACAUUUCAUCAGUUUCUUAAAUCGUGCUGGCCUUACUGAAAGCUGUGGUUGGUUCCCCUGGACAACUAUUGAAGCAUGGCUUGAGUUGGUCCCAGAACUGGGAUAUGAUGCAAUUUCUAGUGUGCCAUGUGGAGAGAUUUGUUUGAGAGGAAAAACCUUGUUUUCUGGUUAUCACAAGCUGCAAGAUCUAACUAAAGAUGGGCUGUUGGAGUUGCUGGAGGGGUUUUGGAGUCACCGCGGCAGUUUCUUAGGUAUCAGACACCAUGGCAGUUAUGGGAUUGAUCAUGUAUGUUAAAUCAAGUCACAUGUAUUGUGAAUGCUACUGAGCUUAUACAAAGUAGAAUCAUAGCCAAAAAAAAAGAAAAAAAAAACAGAAUCAUAGCGUAUCAUAUUUUUAUUCAUUUUUCAGUCUGUUAAUUGGAACUUGGAAGAAGUUAAUAUAAGAAAACAGGUCAAAUGGCCCGAAAAGAAAAAUGGGUAAAAAUUGAAAAAAGUGUAAACGAAAAAUGGCCCAUACAAGUCUUGAAACUGUGAGCUUUGCGUUACUGGCAUAAUGCUUUAACCAGCUGAGCUAAUAUGCCAGUUGAUAAGUUGGAUAAUAAUUAGAUACAAGGAGUGAAUAUGGUAGUGGGAUAUGAGCACUUAGAAAGGCUCACUGGUGUGAUUCGAUUCAAAUUGUUAGUAUGAGAUGAUGGCUGAAACUCUGUUUUCACUGGCAUUGACUAUUAAGAGGAACCCAAGCGGUCAAAUGCUUGGUCAACGCCAAGUCGACGAGAAGAAGGUACUUUCCAUUUCCAUUUGAGCAAUGGCAGCAACCCAUUGAAACCCAGGAGCUCAAUUUUGCUAAUAGGAAAUACUAAUGCCAAUUUUGUUUAAUGCAAA